UACGGGGGGAGCAAGCGUUGUUCGGAUUUACUGGGCGUAAAGGGCGCGUAGGCGGCCAGCACAAGUCAGUUGUGAAAUCUCCGGGCUUAACUCGGAAAGGUCAACUGAUACUGUGCGGCUAGAGUGCAGAAGGGGCAACUGGAAUUCUCGGUGUAGCGGUGAAAUGCGUAGAUAUCGAGAGGAACACCUGCGGCGAAGGCGGGUUGCUGGGCUGACACUGACGCUGAUGAGCGCGAAAGCCAGGGGAGCGAACGGG
rnacentral:rRNA from 1 species